rnacentral:rRNA from 1 species
AUUGAACGCUGGCGGCAGGCCUAACACAUGCAAGUCGAGCGGAUGAAGGGAGCUUGCUCCUGGAUUCAGCGGCGGACGGGUGAGUAAUGCCUAGGAAUCUGCCUGGUAGUGGGGGAUAACGUCCGGAAACGGGCGCUAAUACCGCAUACGUCCUGAGGGAGAAAGUGGGGGAUCUUCGGACCUCACGCCAUCAGAUGAGCCUAGGUCGGAUUAGCUAGUUGGUGGGGUAAAGGCCUACCAAGGCGACGAUCCGUAACUGGUCUGAGAGGAUGAUCAGUCACAAUGGAACUGAGACACGGUCCAGACUCCUACGUGAGGCAGCAGUGGGGAAUAUGGGAAGAUGGGCGAAAGCUUGAUCCAGCCAUGCCGCGUGUGUGAAGAAGGUCUUCGGAUUGUAAAGCACUUUAAGUUGGGAGGAAGGAAAGUAAGUUAAUACCUUGCUGUUUUGACGUUACCAACAGAAUAAGCACCGGCUAACUUCGUG